AUUGAACGCUGGCGGUAUGCUUAACACAUGCAAGUCGAACGGUAGCAGGCCUUCGGGCGCUGACGAGUGGCGGACGGGUGAGUAAUGCAUAGGAAUCUGCCUAUUGGUGGGGGAUAACGUGGGGAAACUCACGCUAAUACCGCAUACGCCCUACGGGGGAAAGCGGGGGACUUUCGGGCCUCGCGCUAAUAGAUGAGCCUAUGUUGGAUUAGCUAGUUGGUAGGGUAAAGGCCUACCAAGGCGACGAUCCAUAGCUGGUCUGAGAGGAUGAUCAGCCACACUGGGACUGAGACACGGCCCAGACUCCUACGGGAGGCAGCAGUGGGGAAUAUUGGACAAUGGGCGAAAGCCUGAUCCAGCAAUACCGCGUGUGUGAAGAAGGCCUGAGGGUUGUAAAGCACUUUCAAUGGGAAGGAAUACCUACCGGCCAAUACCCGGUAGACUGACAUUACCCAUACAAGAAGCACCGGCUAACUCCGUGCCAGCAGCCGCCGUAAGAC
rnacentral:rRNA from 1 species